ACCUCUGUUGCACAGUCUUGUACACGCGCGAAGAUUAUUCGUUACAGAAUACUCAAAAAAAGAAGUGCAUACCUGCGAUUGUGAUUGAUCCGUUAAAAUACAAAUGUUCAAUUACCGUAAAUUCAAUCCUGAAGAACAAAAAAAUUUUUCUUCAUCUUAAUGAAUUAGAAAUCAAGACAGAAUAAAAAGAUGACGAGCAGCGAGUAAGUUUCUAAAUUAUUCGUUACGAUAUACUCAAAAUAGAAGUGCGUACCUGCGAUUGUGAUUGAUCCGUUAAAAUACAAAUGUUGUAUCACCAUAAAUUGAAUCCUGAAGAACAAAAAUUUUUUGUAUUAGACAUCAGCAUGGAAAAAACGGAGCUAACACACAUUUCAAAUACGAUUGCGUAUGGAAAGUUUACCUAUAUCAAAUGACGAAAUGGAAAUCGAAAUUUCUGAUGUGCAGCAAAAUACAAAAGUAAAAUCAAUUUUAAAUUCAAUCCUGAAGAACAAAAAAACUUUGUUACAAAAACACAUACUGAAAUGGAAAUUAGCACAGAAAGUUUACCUCUAUAUCAAAUGACGAAAUGGAAAUCAGUACGGAAAAACACCAUGACGAGCAACAAGAAAAUUCACCUUAAGUGAAAAUAAAUAUUACCGAGCAAGUUGAUGUCCAAUAGACUGGAGGAAUGGGAAAUUUCUGAUGUAACAACUGAUGUAAUGCAUGAAGAUGAACUAACUGAAGCAACGAUUAUUAUUGAGGACGUGAUGAAUGGAGGAUGACCAGAACCGGGAUCAAGAAGGAGAAGAGGACAAGACGGAGGAAGAAGACUGGAUGGAAGAGGACACAAGAGGACAAGACGAAAGAAGAAGACUGGAUGGAAGAGGACACAAGAAGAAAAGACGGGGGGAGGAGGACUAGAUGGAAGAGGACAAGGUUACUAAUAAUUUUUAUCAAUAUAUAAUUAUUAAUUUUUUAAAAGACGUCACGCCAACAAAUAGGGUAUGGGAGCGGGGGGUAUCGAACUCACACAACAACUACAAAACUCCUCCUCCCAUACCCUUGCUUGGCGUGACGUCACCAAAAAAAAAAAAAAUAAAAAAAUAAAUAAAUAAAUAAAUAAAUAAAAACAUUUAUAUAUAAAUAAAAUAAAACAUUUAUUAAUAAAUUCAUAUAUAUUUAAUUUAAGUUUUAUUAUUCACAAAUUACAAGAAGCACAUCUAUAACGAUUACGAUUGAUUCGAUGACGGUUACGACGCCUACGACGCCUAACUCGACGCCGUCUACGUUUUCGAAAUCGGAUUCGGAAAUUUUUAAAUCUAUCCUGGUAUAUAUUUUCUCUGUAUUCCCUUUGUAAUAUAGGAUCCAAAAUUUUCUCUA